UAACUAAAGCAUUGGCAUGUUGGUAAUCCACAGCGAACUGAUUUGGCAGGCAGAGGGUGAGGAUGGACGAGGCUGACUACUAAAAAAAUUCAAACAAGGUGUGAAUAUACAGGGUGUUUCAGCGAACACUUUCAAAAAUUCCUAAAGGUUGCCUGUGGCAGAUAGCACAAUUCUAGUUCGUGAGCUGGUCUACUCGAAGAGGCGGACAUUACUUGCACACGAAAUUGAAAUGUAUAAUCGAAUAAUUAACAGAAAUUCACUAAUUAGGUUUUUAACUAAUUACCUGAUGGCCCAUAUUGCAAUUUACAAAUUGUAGCCGUGGAGUUCGCAAGGCGGAUCCACUUGGAACGAAUUCUCGCGAUGGCACCAGUUUCGAGAUAUUAAUUCCCCAACUUUGCGGAGAAAUGCAUUGGCGUUCCAGUUAAGUUCUUAAGAAAACGUUGCUUUUUGCAUUGAAGCACAAAAUUAACUGGAACGCCAAUACAUUUCUCCGCAAAGUUCGGGAAUUAAUAUCUCGAAACUGGUGUCAUCCUGCGAAUUAAUUCUAAGUGGAUCCGCCUUGCCAACUCCACGGCUACAAUUUGUAAAUUGGUAAAAUUCUACUUAUCCGAGAUUGCUCUGACUCAUAUUCACCAAAAUUGUAUUUGGCCAAGCUUGAUCUGACUAAUAUUCACAAAGAUUCUACUCAGGCAAGCUUGCACCGAGUCAUAUUCACCAAAUAUCUACUUAGCCAAGCUUGCUACGACUUAUAUUCAUCAAAAUUCUACUCAGGUGAGCUUGCACUGAGUCAUAUUCACCAAAAAUCUAUAGCUUGCCGAGCUUGCUUUGACUCAUAUUCACUAAAAUUAUACUUGGAUCAGCUUUCCCUGACUACCACAUGACAAUAUUCACUAAAAGUUUACUCAACUGAGCUUGCUCUUACUCGUAUUCACCAAAAUUCUACUCAGUCAGGCUCAAACGAACUCAGACUGACGGUUAGUUCGAAGUCUUAGUGAGCCGACGUUUGAGUGAGUUCACCGUGCUAUGUAUACAUUACAUUAUGUGACCUGUGCGGUAAAUAAGCAAACAUUGUCUAUGAGUACGUGUUACAUCGGGUGAAAUAAGGACAACUGUAAACACUGCAGUUAGUUUUCUAGAGUUCAACUGACCGUUACGUGAAAGCUUCGCCUCAUGUCGAUUCAAGCAAGUGCAUUGGAUCUGCAUCAUAUUUUUUGCCAAUCCUGCUGGCUGUCCUAGUCAUUACUGGGUGGCCACAUUUUGUACAUUUCAACACAAAAUUUAAUAAAUGACUGUAGUGCAAUAUAUUAAAAAAAUAUGCUUGCAUCACUGCACGUAUAACAAUCACAACAUGACACAAACACAUGCGCAUAAGAUGGACACAAAUGAUAAAUACAUAAACAAAUGGAAUCAGCUAGCCACCACCUAUUGAAAAAAAAGAAAAAGCACAGGACUACGUAUAACCAUUCCCCUUGCCAGGUACAUGGGCUAUAGGAGAAACACACGUGCAACCUAGCAGUUACCUCGAGGUAGCAGCUAUGGAUGCUUUUGCAUUCGCAGCUGGCCACUCAACCACUCAAGUGUGUUCAGUGUGCACUUAUACUUAGGCACACUUUUUAUUGUCUGUAUCUCAAAAAUUUAAUGUGGCUCCUCAAAAUUUUGAGAAUGUUUGGAUUCUGAGGCUUGCAAAGGUAAAUAUUUUUAUUCCAUUUUCGUUCAAGGUGAAGGCUCAUACAAAAGAUUAGAGAUAUUGUCAGUGCCCCUCACUUUCUCUCAGAACAUAAGUGGUCUGUUAUUGAGAUUCUAGCAGCUUUUCAGCAGCAAGAAAGGGAAUCAGCUUCCCCUGUUUUCAGCAUUGGGUUAAUGCAGGCAAUUCAGGGAGGCAUAAAGUUUUGCUUAUACAAUCGUCUUAAAGUCUUGCUUAUACAAGAAUAUUGCUAGGAGCAGGAACCGCUAAUGCGCAAUCACGAGCAAUACACACACAUCCGUUUUUCAGAAGCUGACGUUAAUCACGGGUAGCGCGAGGGUCUCUGCGUUGACAUGACGACUCCGCUGCAGCCGAAUUCCGAAUACUGCAUAUUCGAUGACAACAGCUAUAGGGGCUUGUUGAUAGGUCCUCUUGUAAUUUGUUUAACCGCAGGUAGAACGACACAGGCAUAAAACACACACGAGACAGCACACAACGCUGAACGACCACCUGCGAACAGCUGUUUACGUCCGCCAUUUCUCCUCGUAUUGAACUUCACAAACCGCGGUUGCGCACUCCAAAACAAAGUAAACUUUGAAGCGUUUUUAAAUUACAAAACGCACGUAUUAUUUGGUCCUAAUAAAGAGAGGUCAAUUAUAUUAUAACGCGCACGUCUUUUUCAUUACAUUAAACGAAUUUAUGCGGCGUGUGCGACAAAAUCUGGCAGCAAGCAACUCUGGGCGUCGCAUAAUCGCAUUGUUGACAUCGCACCAUGUGAAAUGGCCGUUGCGAAUUUCGCACCUGCGAAAAUCGCAGUGCAAAAUCGCACCAUGUGAAACAGCCUUCAUUCCGGUUUGCUGGCAUGAUGCCACUCGUGUGCUUUGGUAAUAGCGGCUGUAACAGCCUUGGUUGUUCUGAUGUCUACUGGUGGUGUCACUGGAAUUCCCAAAUUUCCUGCAAGAAAAUUGCAAAUAAAAGGAUUCUCAUUGUGCU